CAUUUUGGCCAUUCCGAGAGUGCCACGGCUGGAGUGUGGGCAGCGCGGAGGAUCGUCCUUUGGCUGCGGUGGACGCGUUCAGGGCGCUAACCGGGCUUCGCUUUAUUUACUCCUGUGGUUACGGCUCCCUGUAGCGUCAGCAGGGGGGCUGCGUGAGAGGCCCAUGAUUACACACUACGCUGCCACCUGGACAAGAAGCCCAGCCUCCCGCCCCUCAGUGAGUCUGGGCUGCAGCUGAAGGUGAAAGAUGGAAUUUAGGAGCCGGUGCACGGUUUCCUGGGCCUCUUUACUGCGUCUCAUCUCUAAAAGAUAUGCAAUUUGGGCAAGGCUCAGUGGAACAGCUCGUCUGCACCACGUGACAUCGGCUGGCGCAGCUCAAAAUCAAGGCCAGGGUCUGGAAUCUGAAGGCUUGAUCAUUCACGCAUCUGGCAGUUGAUGCUAGCUGUUGUUGGGACUUCAUCUAGAACUGUGAGCUGGAAUGCCUAUACGUGGCCCCUCCAUCUGGUUGCUUGACUUCCUCCCUGCCUGGCAACUAUGUUCCAAAAGUGAGCACUCCAAGAGAAAGUCCCAAGAGGACAAGAAGCUAUAUUACCUCUCCUGCUUCUGGCUGCCAGGCCACCAACCUUCAAGAACAAAUAAGAGCCUUUACCUCUGAGAUGGAGAGGAAAAAGAAGGCAGGACACAGGAAAAGUAUUCAAAGAAGUAAUGGUUGAAGAUUUUCCAUAUUUGGCAAAAAUCUAGAGAUUCGAGAAGCUUGGUGUGGCAAAAAUCCACAUCAAGACACAUCAUGGUCAAACUCUGGACCCUAAGACCAAAAGAAGAAGAAGAAGAAGAAGAAGAAGAAGAAGAAGAAGAAGAAGAAGAUGAUCUUGAAAGUAGCCAAAGAGAAAUACCAUGUUACCUGUAGGGUAAAAAGCAAUGUGAAUGACAGCAGAGUUUUCAUUGAACCCAUAUGGGUCAGAAGGAAGUUGCAAAACAGUUUUCAAGAGCUGAAAGGAAAAAAUGACCCAGAAUUCCCCAUCCAGUUAAACUAACCUUAAUAAAUGAAGGGAAAAGGGAUUGUGGUUUUUAAGAUUUGGGGUACAACAGCCAAUCUGGGAUCUUUUCCUUGGGAAGGUAAGGGGAAACGGUAAGAUCAGGAGAGGUACUUUGGGGAAGCAAGGAGUAAAUGGGAGAGUAGAGACUGUUCCUUGAGGAAUUGAUCUAAGGGUUUAGAGAAGGCCUGGCGAACAAGAAAAUCUUGGGGUAUUCUGAAAAGUUCUUUGUAAACCCUACUUAUGCAGUGAUACUCUUCUCAGGCUGGAUGCUCCAAGGACUCAGAAGUUAUCUCCAAGGAUCCACUUAAGGGCCAGUCUUUCCUUUGGAAGGUACAGAGUUUGUACAUCCCAAGCCUGCUGAGCUAACCAAAUGACAAAGAGCAACCAAAUGCAAUGUGUGGGCUUUAUCUGGAUCUUGAUUUGGGAAACAAAACAAAACACAACACUGUAAAACAAAGCAAAACAAUGACCUUUUUCUUUUAACAGUUUAUUAAAGUAUAACUGACAUACAAUAAAUUGCAUAUACUCAAAUGUACUGAUAGAUAGUGAUACAUGCAUACAUCUGUGAAAACAUCACCACCAUUCCAAUUUUAGUAUAUGUGCUGCUGAAGAGAGCAUAACCAUCGCCACGAUCAAAAUAAUGUCCAUAUUCUUGAGCCCCAAGAGUUUCUUCUUGUCCCUCUGGAAUCCCUCCCUCUGGCAUAUCCCUAUCCUCCCUAUCCCAGCCAGUCACUUAUCUUCUAUUACUAAGUUUGUAUUUAGAAUUUUAUAUAAAUGGAACAUAGUGUAUGUAUGUCUGGCAUUA